UGGAAAGCGGAGCUGGGUGCGAUGGCGGCGAGUAUCCGAAAGUUGUGAAUAACCCAAAAGUGCGUGCCCCUGAUUGGGCCACAUCCAGCAGAUCAACAAUUCCACGCGGCGUAAACAAAACACACCAAGUGCCAAAGUUUACUGUCACGUGCUUGUCAACAGCGUCUUGGCGUUUUAUAACGCCCUGACCCCGGACACGACGAAGCUUUACAAGUGACCCCGCUUCUUGGUGGACUUUGCACCCGGCCAACGGCAACUAACUGAACUGAACUCGGGUCCCACGGCGCCUACAUCAUACUUUUAGGACGCUGCCAGGACACGGCCUGCCGGCAUUUCCUACAGGGCACGAAGGACAUCCCCAACCUCGUGCACACCCGCAUCCGCAUCCACAGCCACAUUCACAUCCACAUCCUCGCCACAUCAAACGAGAGCGCCCACAAGGGAUACAGUUGUUAACGUGGCCAAGGAGCAGCGACUAUGGCGGGCACAAAAACACAAACAUGGUUGCCGCAGGACGCUUGCAGUUGAAGGAGCGAGCACUUUAUGUGCAUAUAAUGUCCGCUCUCACCCACGGCACACACCCACACACACACACACACACGCGGAGAGGCAGGACCCUUUGAGCCAAGUUGCGGGGAAUUGUUAAUAUUGUCUGGGCCUGUAAGCAGCAUUUACAUGCUGGCCGACACCACGUACUACAUACGUCCUGGCUGAUGGACGGUCCCCGGGAUGCGGAAUCCUUGCCAUGCGGAUGAUGCCCGGCUUUAAGUAGGCCCGCCUGGUAACAGACAUUGUUUUAAAAAUAUGUACAUCCUUGCAGCUUGCAGAUGUUGAAUUAACCGACGAUGCCCGACAGCUUUCAUUAGGAAAAGGCGGAUGGCCAAAGUCCUGGACUUGCCGGAUGUGGAAAGCCCAAAUGCCGAUGCAUUCUGGAUUCGUGGCAUUAAGACAAAAAUAAACUUGAUUUUGGUACGAAAUUGAUUCAUUCAUUUUCGAUCCAUUGAGUCUGAUUCUUAUCCGAUGGAUGAGUCGGGCAGCAUCAGCACUUCCAACUGUGUGCACAUCCAACAGGUAGUCAAACCAGACAAUCUGUCUCCACUUGCCGUGGAGUCUCGUUUCCAUCCUCUUCGCCUCCCAAUCUUUCUUUGCAGUCAAUGAAUGAGUUGGAAGUCUGCGAAAACAGCGGACUCUUUAGUGAAAGGAUAUUGACACCCAUGUUCCGAAAAAGUAUUUCUCGGAUAAAUUUCGAUGUUUGUUGCCAAGGACCAUUUUGUCAGCUUGAGAACAUGUUGCAGAUAACCUACCAAAUAAUGAACGAUUCUUGAUGGACUGGAUGAUAGCAGCUGGACAUAAUUAUGUUAAUUUACAAUACACAUUAUAUGAUUAUAAAGACUUAAAAAGUAAUACGUUAUCAAAAUAAGGACAUCACAGUAGGAUGGAAGUUUUACUCAUGUACUUUCCGAUAGAAUUUGGUUGGAUGAAUGUGUUAUGUGUAUCUGAAAAUUGUAUUGAUGUUCGUUAGUGCUCUAAUUAGAUCAUUUAAUGAUCAACCAUAUACGACUGCAAAUGUAAUUAUUUAAAAUGUAUAUUUUUGUAAAUACAACAUAGUCAGGACAUUUAAACAAACAAAAUACUUUACAUGGCCGCUGAUCAAAAGCUAACAAAAAUAUU